rnacentral:rRNA from 1 species
UGGGGAAUAUUGCACAAUGGGCGAAAGCCUGAUGCAGCGACGCCGCGUGAGGGAUGACGGCCUUCGGGUUGUAAACCUCUUUCAGCAGGGAAGAAGCGAAAGUGACGGUACCUGCAGAAGAAGCGCCGGCUAACUACGUGCCAGCAGCCGCGGUAAUACGUAGGGCGCAAGCGUUGUCCGGAAUUAUUGGGCGUAAAGAGCUCGUAGGCGGUUAGUCGCGUCUGCUGUGAAAACUCGAGGCUCAACCUCGGGCUUGCAGUGGGUACGGGCUGACUAGAGUGCGGUAGGGGUGACUGGAAUUCCUGGUGUAGCGGUGGAAUGCGCAGAUAUCAGGAGGAACACCGAUGGCGAAGGCAGGUCACUGGGCCGCAACUGACGCUGAGGAGCGAAAGCAUGGGGAGCGAACAGGAUUAGAUACCCUGGUAGUCCAUGCCGUAAACGUUGGGCACUAGGUGUGGGUCCAUUCCACGGAUUCCGUGCCGCAGCAAAGCGCAUUAAGUGCCCCGCCUGGGGAGUACGGCCGCAAGGUCUAAAACUUAAAGGAAAUGACGGGGUCAUAGCUGUUUCCU